CAGUCGCCACGGGAAUACGUAGGUGGCAAGCGUUGUCCGGAAUUAUUGGGCGUAAAGGGCCCGCAGGCGGUUUCUUAAGUCUGAUGUGAAAGCCCCCGGCUCAACCGGGGAGGGUCAUUGGAAACUGGGAAACUUGAGUGCAGAAGAGGAGAGUGGAAUUCCACGUGUAGCGGUGAAAUGCGUAGAGAUGUGGAGGAACACCAGUGGCGAAGGCGACUCUCUGGUCUGUAACUGACGCCGAGGAGCGAAAGCGUGGGGAGCGAACAGGAUUAGAUACCCCCGUAGUCCCUGUCUCUUAUAC
rnacentral:rRNA from 1 species